GUUUCCCCCUCCCUGCUGCAGAUUAUCCAGAAGGCCUCCCUCCCACCAGCAGUGUUUUAUAGCCCCAGUGUGUUUUAUAUUCCCGGUGCGCGGAGGGUCCCUCCUAGGCUUGCCCGGUGGUACCGGAGAACGGGUACGGCUCGGCGGCGGGAUGCUUAGCCUCUUCCCUAGCCCUAUUCUAAGCCUUGUGGAAUGAGGCAGGCGCGGUGAAGAAUUGCGAGGUGCCACCGGGAUAAGGCAACAGCAGACGACACCUCCCCGGGGCUCCGGUACAGCGAGAGCGGUUCGUACUCUGGGUACGGCCGAUCACUUUUAAAGCUCAUUUUCCGUGCGGGUUUUUAGGCAGAAGGCACCGGUGCGCCCCGGUUGUAAAAGAAGUUUGAACUGCCCGUUUAAUCCCUUCAGCCCUCCGGUUGCCGAGCCCCGAUGUUCCCGGUGCCGCCGUGCGCUACCCGCUCUCUCUAAUGGCUAAAAAACGGAGGAAAAGCAGCAAAUUGAUGGGAAGAACCAAAACGAUCUCCAGCCCCCUCACCCCGUCUCUCCCCGCAGCCUUCCCGCCUCUGGGCUCAGUCCCGGACACUCGGGAAGGCAGAGCCGGCGAGUCUCGCCCGGCGCCGGCGUCUUUGCAGCGUCCGGAGGAGGAUGCGGCACCUCGGGCGUCUCUUUGGAGCAUUUGAUUUUAAUUACCGGCGGAAUCCAGCCUUCUAAUUGCGACUAGAAAGAAAAAAGCAACUCCCCAAAGUUUUUUAGCCGCUGCUUCCCCGCAACUCAAGAAAGAAGAAGAAGAGAAAAAAAAAGAGGGUCAAGUACAAGACUCUUAAGGAAAGAAAAAUUAAAUAGAAAUUGUAGGAGUACUUCAAGUAUUUCAGCAUGUAAAAAGUAGCAGGAAUGGAAAGGGGGUGGGUGGGGAUGAGAGCAGUUAUUUAAUUACUUCGAUGAAUAAUCACCUUGAAAUAAAGUAUUUGCUUUGAAUUUAAAUUUAAUUCGAAUUUAAGCACUGUUUAAGUAUGCCUCCAUGUCCCAACACCUUCAAAGUGAAAAUGAGAAUAUUCCAUUAAAGUGCAGAGCGAGGACUGGA